rnacentral:sRNA from 1 species
CGGUGUCGUCCCUGACCAUCGCCGACGCGUUCAUUGCAGCCGGCGAGAGCUCAGCUCCGACCCCGCCGCGCCCCGCGCUUCCCAGGAGAGACCAUUUGUUUGUGACUAUGAAGGGUGUGGCAAGGCCUUCAUCAGGGACUACCAUCUGAACCGCCACAUUCUGACUCACACCGGAGAAAAGCCGUUUGUUUGUGCAGCUAAUGGCUGUGAUCAAAAAUUCAACACAAAAUCAAACUUGAAGAAACAUUUUGAACGCAAACAUGAAAAUCAACAAAAACAAUAUAUAUGCGGUUUUGAAGACUGUAAGAAGACCUUUAAGAAACAUCAGCAGCUGAAAAUCCAUCAGUGCCAGCAUACCAAUGAACCUCUAUUCAAGUGUACCCAGGAAGGAUGUGGGAAACACUUUGCAUCACCCAGCAAGCUGAAACGACAUGCCAAGGCCCACGAGGGCUAUGUAUGUC